rnacentral:rRNA from 1 species
UUGAUCCUGGCUCAGGACGAACGCUGGCGGCGCGCCUAACACAUGCAAGUCGAGCGGAGAUACUUGAAGGAAGUUUUCGGAUGGAAUUUGAGUAUUUUAGCGGCGGACGGGUGAGUAACGCGUGAGUGACCUGCCUUCCACAGGGGGAUAACGUACCGAAAGGUACACUAAUACCGCAUGAGACCACAGCACUGCCUGGUGCAGGGGUCAAAGGAGCAAUCCGGUGGAAGAUGGACUCGCGUCCGAUUAGAUAGUUGGUGGGGUAACGGCCUACCAAGUCAGCGAUCGGUAGCCGACCUGAGAGGGUGAUCGGCCACAUUGGAACUGAGAGACGGUCCAAACUCCUACGGGAGGCAGCAGUGGGGAAUAUUGGGCAAUGGGGGAAACCCUGACCCAGCGACGCCGCGUGAGGGAAGAAGGUUUUCGGAUUGUAAACCUCUGUUCUUGGUGAAGAGGGAAAGGACGAUAGCCAAGGAGGAAGCCCCGGCUAACUACGUGCCAGCAGCCGCGGUAAUACGUAGGGGGCGAGCGUUGUCCGGAAUGAUUGGGCGUAAAGGGCGCGUAGGCGGCUGUUUAAGUCUGGAGUGGAAGUCCUAUUUUUAAGGUAGGAAUUGCUUUGGAAACUGAGCAGCUUGAGUGCAGGAGAGGUCAUCGGAAUUCCCGGUGUAGCGGUGAAAUGCGUAGAGAUCGGGAGGAACACCAGUGGCGAAGGCGGGUGACUGGACUGCAACUGACGCUGAGGCGCGAAAGUGUGGGGAGCAAACAGGAUUAGAUACCCUGGUAGUCCACACUGUAAACGAUGAAUGCUAGGUGUAGGGGGUAUCGACCCCUUCUGUGCCGCAGUCAACACAAUAAGCAUUCCGCCUGGGGAGUACGGUCGCAAGAUUAAAACUCAAAGGAAUUGACGGGGGCCCGCACAAGCAGCGGAGCAUGUGGUUUAAUUCGAAGCAACGCGAAGAACCUUACCAGGUCUUGACAUCCAGGUAAAGCUGCAGAAGAUGCAGUGGGUGCUUGCACAAUCUGAGACAGGUGGUGCAUGGUUGUCGUCAGCUCGUGUCGUGAGAUGUUGGGUUAAGUCCCGCAACGAGCGCAACCCCUGCGAAUAGUUACUAACAGGUGAUGCUGAGGACUCUAUUGGGACUGCCGUGGACAACACGGAGGAAGGUGGGGACGACGUCAAAUCAUCAUGCCCCUUAUGACCUGGGCUACACACGUGCUACAAUGGUCGCAACAAAGAGGAGCGAAACCGUAAGGUAGAGCAGAUCUCAAAAACGCGAUCCCAGUUCGGAUUGUGGGCUGCAACCCGCCCACAUGAAGUAGGAGUUGCUAGUAAUCGCGAAUCAGCAUGUCGCGGUGAAUACGUUCCCGGGCCUUGUACACACCGCCCGUCA